AUGUGGACCAUUGACUCACAAUGGAUUCUUUCAAUCCCAAUUUCGCGACAUAAUAUGACAAAUUUUAUUGCCUGGAGUUAUACAAAAAAUUGUAUAUUUUUGGUACGGUCUGCUUACUCUGUGGAGUGGAACUAUCGGUAUGGGAGCAAACUAAAAUAUUCCAACGGGAUGGGACGGAGCACACCUGACCCUAUAUGGUGUCAGAUAUGAAAGUUAUCUUGUCCGGCUAAAGUCAAAAAAAUUUGGUGGACACUACAUGGCGCUCUCCCAUGUCGGACAACACUCACUAAUAGACAUAUGAAGGUCUCGCCCUCUUGUCCUGCCUGCUCUCAGGGUGUAGAAGAUACGAAGCACUUGUUUUUCCUAUGUAGGAAAGCAAAGGAGGUUUGGAAAAGGCUAGCGUUGGAUAUGAUUAUUGAGAGAGCUUGUGAGAUUGAUCAUGCUGGAGAGGCAACAUUGGAAUACCUAUUACUCCUUCCAGAUCAAGAUCUGCGCAUCAUGGGGUACGAAAAUGUUCGAGAAAUGUUAGCUAUCUCAGCUUGGUAUCUAUGGUGGGAAAGACGGAAAUUACUGCACAAGGAAUUAACUCAAAAUGCAACUCAGAUCUCAAUGGGAAUCAUUGCUCUUACAUAUAAUUUUUUAAAUGCAUCAUCUUCAAAGGUGUCCAUGAAACAGGGGGGUUGGCAAUGUCCUCCUAGGGGUUUUGUGAAACUCAAUGUUGUCGCCUCUUUUGACCAUAACUUGCUGGAGGGUACGAUGGGGGCAGUACUGAGAGACGACAAAGAUAGAUUUAUUGCAGGAGGGAAUGAAAAGAUAGACUACUGCGCAGAUGUUCUCAUGGCGGAGGCCUUAGCCCUCAAAUUUGGCCUAAAUUUAGCAUAA
rnacentral:rRNA from 1 species